GACGAACGCUGGCGGCGUGCUUAACACAUGCAAGUCGAACGGAAAGGCCCUGCUUUUGUGGGGUGCUCGAGUGGCGAACGGGUGAGUAACACGUGAGUAACCUGCCCUUGACUUUGGGAUAACUUCAGGAAACUGGGGCUAAUACCGGAUAGGAGCUCCUGCUGCAUGGUGGGGGUUGGAAAGUUUCGGCGGUUGGGGGUGGACUCGCGGCUUAUCAGCUUGUUGGUGGGGUAGUGGCUUACCAAGGCUUUGACGGGUAGCCGGCCUGAGAGGGUGACCGGGCAGAUUGGGGCCGUGGUUAGGCCCAGGCUCCAACGGGGGGCAGGCGGGGGGGAUAUUGCACGAUGGGCGGAAGCCUUAUGGCGCAACGCCGCGUUGGGGAUGACGGCCUUCGGGUUGUAAACCGCUUUCGCCUGUGACGAAGCGUGAGUGACGGUAAUGGGUAAAGAAGCACCGGCUAACUACGUG
rnacentral:rRNA from 1 species